AUUACUGCUAAGAAGGGGUUAGCAACCACUGAAGUCAUGCAUGUGCUAGAGGAAGAUGCUACAGUCUCUACCUGAGCCAUUGGUCAAUUGUCGUCGAUGGUUGACACCUUCCCAUUUUCACAGUGAAAUGAGUAUUCUAAAUGCCACAUCUUGUCACUGAGGUUCAUGAUCAAAUAGAUCAGCUAGCAUUGCUUAUUCCCUUCUAGCCUGUGACUGUGACCCCAGGGGCAUUGAGACACCACAGUGUGACCAGUCCACGGGCCAGUGUGUCUGCGUUGAGGGUGUUGAGGGUCCACGCUGUGACAAGUGCACGCGAGGGUACUCGGGGGUCUUCCCUGACUGCACACCCUGCCACCAGUGCUUUGCUCUCUGGGAUGUGAUCAUUGCCGAGCUGACCAACAGGACACACAGAUUCCUGGAGAAAGCCAAGGCCUUGAAGAUCAGUGGUGUGAUCGGGCCUUACCGUGAGACUGUGGACUCGGUGGAGAGGAAAGUCAGCGAGAUAAAAGACAUCCUGGCGCAGAGCCCCGCAGCAGAGCCACUGAAAAACAUUGGGAAUCUCUUUGAGGAAGCAGAGAAACUGAUUAAAGAUGUUACAGAAAUGAUGGCUCAAGUAGAAGUGAAAUUAUCUGACACAACUUCCCAAAGCAACGGCACAGCCAAAGAACUGGAUUCUCUACAGACAGAAGCCGAAAGCCUAGACAACACUGUGAAAGAACUUGCUGAACAACUGGAAUUUAUCAAAAACUCAGAUAUUCGGGGUG
rnacentral:sRNA from 1 species